rnacentral:rRNA from 1 species
UACGGGGGGGGCAAGCGUUGUUCGGAAUUACUGGGCGUAAAGGGUCUGUAGGUGGCUCGCUAAGCCACACGUGAAAUCCCUCAGCUUAACUGGGGAACUGCGUGUGGGACUGGUGAGCUUGAGGACAGGAGAGGAACGCGGAAUUCCAGGUGUAGCGGUGAAAUGCGUAGAUAUCUGGAGGAACACCGGUGGCGAAGGCGGCGUUCUGGACUGUUUCUGACACUGAAAGACGAAAGCCAGGGGAGCAAACGGG